rnacentral:rRNA from 1 species
ACAUGCAAGUCGAACGAUGAAGUUCCUUCGGGGAUGGAUUAGUGGCGAACGGGUGAGGAACACGUGAAGAAUCUGCCCAGCAGUGGGGAAUAACCUUUGGAAACGAAGGCUAAUACCGCAUACGCCCUUUUGGGGAAAGAUUUAUCGCUGUUUGAUGGUCCCGCGUCCGAUUAGCUAGUUGGUAAGGUAAUGGCUUACCAAGGCGACGAUCGGUAGCUGGUCUGAGAGGAUGAUCAGCCACACUGGAACUGAGACACGGUCCAGACUCC